rnacentral:rRNA from 1 species
UAGGGAAUCUUCCACAAUGGACGCAAGUCUGAUGGAGCAACGCCGCGUGAGUGAAGAAGGUUUUCGGAUCGUAAAGCUCUGUUGUUGGUGAAGAAGGAUAGAGGCAGUAACUGGUCUUUAUUUGACGGUAAUCAACCAGAAAGUCACGGCUAACUACGUGCCAGCAUCCGCGGUAAUACGUAGGUGGCAAGCGUUGUCCGGAUUUAUUGGGCGUAAAGCGAGCGCAGGCGGAAUGAUAAGUCUGAUGUGAAAGCCCACGGCUCAACCGUGGAACUGCAUCGGAAACUGUCAUUCUUGAGUGCAGAAGAGGAGAGUGGAAUUCCAUGUGUAGCGGUGGAAUGCGUAGAUAUAUGGAAGAACACCAGUGGCGAAGGCGGCUCUCUGGUCUGCAACUGACGCUGAGGCUCGAAAGCAUGGGUAGCGAACAGG